rnacentral:lncRNA from 1 species
AGUCGGAGAGAGCCCCUGGCCAGGCACCAAGCUCCAGAGGUCGCUCUGGCGAGCGUUUGCUUCGGGAUCUGAUGCCCUGGAGUCGCCAACUCAAUUCGCGGGUCGCAGCCAGGCUCCAUGGGGGUAGUAGAGCCAGGUCGUAGUGGCUAGGUAGACGCACCCUCUGAAGAUGGUGACUCCCUCCUGAGAAGCUGGACCCCUUGGUAAAAGACAAGGCCUUCUCCAAGAAGAAUAUGAAAGUGUUACUCAGACUUAUUUGUUUCAUAGCUCUACUGAUUUCUUCUCUGGAGGCUGAUAAAUGCAAGGAACGUGAAGAAAAAAUAAUUUUAGUGUCAUCUGCAAAUGAAAUUGAUGUUCGUCCCUGUCCUCUUAACCCAAAUGAACACAAAGGCACUAUAACUUGGUAUAAAGAUGACAGCAAGACACCUGUAUCUACAGAACAAGCCUCCAGGAUUCAUCAACACAAAGAGAAACUUUGGUUUGUUCCUGCUAAGGUGGAGGAUUCAGGACAUUACUAUUGCGUGGUAAGAAAUUCAUCUUACUGCCUCAGAAUUAAAAUAAGUGCAAAAUUUGUGGA